CCCCUUUAUAUUGCUUUCUAUGCAUCUUCUCAUCUAUAAAAUAAGACUUUAUUUUUCUCCUAUAUUUCGCUCUAUAGACAGCCUGAAAUCAUACUUUUGUGGGAUUAAAUUUAACACCUUUUCCCAUUUUCACUUAAUAAAACAAUAGGAGCUGCUUAGUUAAUAUGAGAACAUUUACAUCUUGUAUAAAUAUGAGGAGAAAGAAAAUCAUUUAAG